rfam:Salmo salar isolate Sally breed double haploid chromosome ssa16, whole genome shotgun sequence.
UACAGUAGUGAGUGUAUGUCGCUCUGGAUAAGAGCGUCUGCUAAAUUACUCAAA